UUCCGCCAUUUAAAGAAACAGUACCGGGGGCGGGCCGAGAGACGCAGCCGGGACGGUAGCUGCGGUGCGGACCGGAGGAGCCAUCUUGUCUCGUCGCCGGGGAGUCAGGCCCCUAAUUCGAAGAAGCCCUGGCGCGCCCUCCCCCCCUCCCCGGUCUGGUAGGGCGAAGGAGCGGGCGCGCGGUCGAUCGAGCAAUCGGUUGGCGGCUCUUUCUCCUGCUCUGGCAUCCAGCUCUUGGGGCGCAGGCCCGGCCGCCGCGGCGCGCGCCCGGUGGCCGUUGGCGCUCGCGCCGCGUCUUUCUUCUCGUACGCAGAACUCGGGCCGCGGCCUAUGCGUUUGCGAUUCGACGAGGAGUCGUUCGGGUGGUCGGUGGAGGCGGACAGCUGCUCCGUCCCGCUCCCGGGGAGGCGGCGGCGGGAUUUGGCGCGGCCGGGGAGGCGGGGGUGGCCGGGGCCGGCCUGGAGGCCUGGCGCCACCCUUCGGGGCCUGCAAGGACCCAGUUGGAGGGACAGGAGGAGGCUGGGGGAUGGUUGGUCGUGGGCUUUCUGCUUUGCCUUUUCCUCCUUAUGCCGCCUUAGGGGUUGGGGCUCUGAAGGCAGCUCCGGGGUGGGAAGACAAGCCCCGGAGUCGGAAGAGCUGGGUUUGCUUCCGGGCCUAGCCACCAGCUGGCCGAGUGACCUUAGGCAAGUCACUCUGUAAUUUGCGCCUCAGUUUCCUCCUCUGCCUAUUGGUGUUUGUGGGAUUAGAAGCGCUUUGUAAACUGUAAAGCGUCAGUGUACGUAAGGGAUGAUUUUUGUUUGUAAUUUUUUCUUGAGUUGUAAGAAAACUUAGCAAUUGCCCAAUCCUUGGAUUUUCAACCUUGGAUUGGAGUUGGCGAUCCACACAGACUCCCUGAAACAGUACGCAGAAAUGUACAUUUUAGGGGGAUGAGAAUCCAUCACCAGCAAGAUUUCAAAGGGAGAUGUCACCCCUCCCCCAAGAGUUAAGAACCACAAUUUCUUUAUGCCACAGGGAGGAAACUGAGGCCUAGAUGUCAUUUGGGACUCUUCACGACCAGUUUGAAGCUCCUGAUUGAAUCCCUGGGAUAUGUGAGCUGUUCCUGUGCAUAAUGGAUAUUUGGCAUAACAACGCUCCACUGCUUGGCUUCUAUUCUUAGUUCUUUCGUUUCCCUAUGGGGUGUCUGAAGGGUGGCUGAUGCAUAUGGUACAAUGGCACCCAAUAUAAAGCAGCUAAAACUAGGAGUAUGUGUGUUCGCUAGCAUCGAGAAGCCUUUGUAAUCAUUGGCCCAAUAACUUUGUUUUCUGCUGCGUAUACUGGUGCCUGACUGCCUUUCUGACUCUUAAUUGACCAUUUUCCACAACCAUGUUUGCCACUCUUUACUUGGUCCUAUUUUAUAUCCCUAGUCUGUGUGGUUGGUAGUGAGCGGGCUUAUUUUUAAAUGGUGCUGCCAAGUCUAGCUAAUUAGUGUUGCAGGUGGAUUUUUAGCAAGCUGGCUCACUGGCACAGACUAAACUAGCCAUGGAAUUCCUGAAGAUGUUGAGGGUUUGUCUUUAUUAAUUAAAGGUUAACAUUCUCUGAAAAGUUUUUUAGAACUUCUCCUGUAUCUCAGAAUCACUAGAUUUGGAAGUGUUUCAAAGCUUAACUUUUUCCUGGACUGCUUUGUUUUCUAUUUGCUUGCAAAUGUGUUACUAAGAUGGCCAAAAUGCCAGUUUUUGCUUCUUUGUUGUCAGCUGCUGUUAUCAAAUUCCAGGCCAUUGUCCAGCAAACACUAUAGAAAUGUUUGAACAUUUGGAUUUCAAACAUUUUCGUUUUGUGGAGUAUUGCUUACCAGUGGUACAGCUCUAAGCAAGCGAACACACACAUUUAAGUGUAUUUUGUCUGGUUAGGUGUUACCGGGUUCUGCUAUUUCAUACAGUUAUCUGGAAAAAUCAGUUACCUGUUCCCUUAACCUAAAGGGCAGCGACAAAUGAUCUCAUUUCCGUAGACAUGACUGUUUCAGAGAAAAAUGUGUUGGUCUUUUAGGUCUUUUAUAGUUAAAUCUGGAUGUACCUCAAAAGACUCUUAAGACUGGUGAUAAGAUGCUUUCCUCGGCAGAGAGGAGGGGGAAAAAAACAACUGGAACUCAAAGCUUGAAAUUCUGUGACAGAACAUGAGAUGUCCAGGAUAGGAGGUUGAAAGGGUUUCACUACAAUCUUCUGCACCAGCUGGAGCAGAUGCCGUUCAGUGUAGCCACAGUGUGGACUCCAGAUUUCCAAGACCUGGACCUGGGACAUGGAAGAGCUUAUCAGGGUGUGACAGGAACUCUGGAGCUGGAUAUUUUUAUUUUUGAAUUUUGGGACUGUUGUGUCUUUUCUCAAAGCAAACUCGACAACUAAUCAAGCACUGCCACCAGCACUGUUACUGGGAAUUCUAAGACCUGAGUUUCUUCCAGACCCUCAGUGCAAACUCUGGCAACACUCCAUCCAAAGUGAACUACGUCCCGUUGCCUCCUGAUGGCUGAAUGUUUGCCUGGACCUUCCGACCACCUUCCUUGUACUGUACCACCAGCCUACAGAUCUGGUACCUGGAUUUUUGCUCAUGGUGAUUCCUAUCACCUUACUACUGAAGAAGACACUAUUCCAGUGGACCACUGUGACCUAAGAGGCCUUCAGCCAUCAUGAUGUGGCCUUCACCUCCACUCCUGUCCUGCUCUACCCAGAUUGAGCACCAUCCUUGUAGUAAAGUCAAACUCCUCAAGCCAAAUAGCUGAAGCUGUUUUAUCACAACAAAAGACCAGUUUGUUCCAUGAGUGUGCAUUUUAUUUCUUCAGUUAAAGCCUUCAAAGAGAGAUAAUAAAUUUGGACCAGGGGAUUUUUAAUAAUCAACGUUGUCUGAAGAAUGGCAGCAUCCUUUUGAGAACGACGUUGGACCACACCUCACGAUCUCAAAUGUUUGAAGUUCAUGGAAUGUCUAGGAUCCCAUCCAGGUCACUGGACCCUAUUUUUCCACUUCAAAUCUGUGUGUAGUAGCCUACUGAAUGAGAAAGCCGAUAUUCUGACCCAUUGGGAUUAAAACAAAGGCACAGUGAAGUCCUCAUAGCAUCUUCUUUGGGAUUACUCAGGAACCAGAACUUUUCACACAAAUGUAAGAAAUUUUACCAAGGAAUCCCUUUACCUUACAGCAUCAUACAAAGCUCCAAUCAGAUUCCAGAAAAGGCCUCUUGAGACAUCCAGGUAGAACCUAUAUGCAUUUUGUGAACAACUUAUUCUUAGAUCAUUGGUUUUCGAAAGGCUUUGUGGCCAUGAAGCCCCUUGAAUGAAAACUAUGGAAGCCCAAAAUAAAAAUGAAGCUGCUCUGGAUGAAGCAGGACUGGGGGUCGUGACAUCUGCCACAAGCAUCUUUACCACCGUCGUGACACCUAAGAAGACUUCUUUACAACACCUAGAGUUCUUCAGAACAGUUUGAAACCACUGCCAUAGACAACAGUAUGUUGAACUUGAAUAGCAUUCUGAUCUGUACCUCUACCCAACAGUCUAUGUUCAGUUGGUGCUGAAUAUUCUUAUGAAUACUUACUGUGGGCAAACUCAGAAAAGUGCAAGAAGACGGGCACAUCUUUGCCCCCCAGAGUAGUCAUAUGGGCCCAAAGUGGUAUCAAAUGGACCUAGAUUAACAAUUAACAGCCCACAGCCCCCAGGUGAACUUCCAGUGAUUCCUGGAAUUGGAUAUAGACAGUAAUUAAUAUAUACUCUACACUGACAAACCCCAUUACCCAAGUUCUUUUACAGACACCAGAUGCUCUAGUGGUACUUGAAAUACAUGAUUUUGAAAUCUUGAUCCUCCUUGGAAUCGCCAGGUAUUGAAGCUGUUGCCUCAUUGAGGCCAUAGUAGACCGACUGGAAUAUUGGACCUCCCAUCAUCAGCCAUGGUACUCUACUUGAUGUGCAAGGGAUAACCAUGAACUAUGAAAGCAGAAUUCAAAUGCAACAUUACCUAAAAAGGAUACCUGGUUAUCACUCAUCUUAUUCUCAAACUACAAGUCACUAUGACUCAACCAGUAAAGUUAUACUGCUGCUUGGUUUUUAUUCACUAACUGAUAUUUCCAGGAUAAAGGAGCUAAUAUCCUUUAAAAAGCUAGAACAAUACCUCCAUCACUGGCAUAUCUGCCUGGCAUAUUCUGCUCUAAAAUUAUGAAUACUCAGCUCUAACUACAUGUGACACCUGAUCCACAAGAGACAAUCUUUGGAUAUCUUUUCUCAUUUAUGUGAUUUAAAAUGUGGCUAUUUGAAAAUUUUUCUUCUAGCCAAUGAGGAUUUUUUUAAUGGUCUUUUGACGUCUGGUACCAUCAACUGUAGGUGUUAGGGAUAUUUGGAGGUAGGCCCUCUGACGAAGCCAUGAGAGCUUACUUAGUGGGAAUCUCAAAUUGUAUAUCAUCUACCUUUUUGCUAGAAAUGUAAACUGACUUGAAAAAAAAAUCUACAAAGCCUGCAACUAUGGAUUGUAUCAGACUGAAGAGCUUCCUACUGCUUCUUCCUAAUGUCACAAGACCACAGUCCCUUAUCCUUGUGAAUGUUAAUGGAAUUUCAUCUGUCUCAAUACUGUUGUUUUACACUGAUUCAGAGCGGCUGACUUCAUUCCUUGCCAUGAGAUACUCUCAGGCAUUAAGACAACUUACUGUUUCUGCAGGAAGGAUUCGAUUCGUAAACUUCCAGACCAGAUCAUGUUGAAUAAGUAAACUUUAAUUUAUGUCACAAGAAAAUCUCAUUUACUUCACAGUUGACUUAAGGUGCAGCUGACCUCAACUACUUUAAUGAAUGCACUGGUUAAAUUUUGAGAAUGGUUUCUUUAUAUCUUUGUCUCUUAUCCUCUAUACUAAAUGUGAUUACAUGACUUGGUCUGCAAAUCAUCAAACAAGGCCUAUGCCUGGUUACUCUCAAUUGCUUACCCUCAAAAAAUAAAAAUAAAAUCUGCUUACUACUCUGCUUGUAUAUACAACUAUUAUUUGUAAAGGAGAAAUUAUCUACAAACUCAAUUUUUAUACUACCUUCAGAAUAUCAGCUCAAUUUUCUUUCCAUACAGAAAAAGAUACUGAUUUACACUGCCAGUCAUUCCCUUUAAUCCUGUCAAACUCAGUCAAAAUGAGGGGCUUAAGGUGAGGAUGAUCAUCUUUUCAAGAGUCUAAUGAACACUUUGUAUAAGAAUUGAUGGUUGAAAAAGCAGAAAGCCUAAAAUUCAAACGUAGGGUCUUACCUACUUACCUCCAUGCCUCAGAUCUCAUCUAAAUCUUUCCAACAGUACCAUUCCACCAAUUUGAGGCCUUGUUUAUGAUUCUCAGAGAUGGGCUGAGUUAGAAGAUGGAGACUUGAUUACCAAAGAAAGUAGGGCCAACUUUGAUGAACCUGGCUCUCCCAACCCUAUCACUUCCAGAUGUAGCAUAGACUCCUAAACACAACCUCAAGUCUGGAUUGAGGAUAUAGCCUUCUCCUGAGCUGAAAGUUAUUUGGCAGAUGAGCAGGAAAAUGAAAGCUGCUGUACAUAACUGGCUAUUUAAGAUCAGAAAAGUGUAUCCAGAGUAAACACUGUGGAUUAACCCUGGAGUACUCGGAGUAAAAACUAAUUUACAGAUCUUCGAUAUUAAACUACUUGUUCUUCCAUAUCAUGUCCUGGCUAUUGAUAUGGCUGGCCCUGCUGAAGGUACACCUACUUGCCUAUUUAUCUGACUCAGCCCUUGCCUGCCCUUUUUGAUGUGUUGCUGCAACCAGACUUGCUACCCUUAAGAAGACUACAGCUGAUCUCAGCCUAUCUAAUACUUAAUUCCACCAAGGAGUUUCAAACAGAAGCAACCUACCCAUCACCCCACCAAGACUUAUGUUCUCAACAGGGAGGAAGGACCAUGCUGUAUUCUCUGACCAGCGGCAGCCUUUUAUUUUUUUAAGUGCAGGGUAAGCCUCUAUGCCUAUGUAUAUUUGAUCAUUUUCAGCACCUGGGACCCCAUAUGCCAGGUCUGAAGGAGUACAGCAGAACAAAAGCACUGUCUACUCUUCUACACUAAUACAGAGGUGAGUCUGAUUCACCAGUAUAGAAAUGAAAAAUCUACCAGUCCAACUUAGCAAAAGACUUAAACACAAGAAAAGUUUUCCAUACUGAACUUAAAAUUCACCACUGACUUGAAUCACCUCACAGAACUUUUUGCCAGUGGAGGCUAGUUGUCUUGCUUCAUGUCAGCUGGACGAUUGGGCUCUCAGAUUCGUGACCACUGAGUUUACUUAUAUUGAAACUAUUGUAUCAUCCAAAGUAUGCUGUUGGACAUGAUUAUUCCAUUCAAAUGGAUUGUGAGCUUUCUGAGUACAGGACAUACUCCUAAUGAUGUUUUUUCAGAAUACUUUUAUUAUCAAGAAAGUUAACAAAAACGCCAGCUGUUACCAUUCAACUUUAUGAGCAGAGACUAAACUUUUUCAAUGUCUGACCUUAUUGUUGACAUCAGGUGUUUUUGACUGACCAGCAUUCAUUCCAUCUCUUUGUAACAACUCCGUGAUAUUUCUUCGAGCCACAUCUCCCUGUUUUCAGUCCACAUGGUUCAGUCUGACCUAACCUUGGGUUUCAUGUGUGGAUGUGUUAGCACAGUUCAUCUUGACCAUAAUGAUUUGUUCAGGAAUGGUCAUGUGAUUCAAGUUGGUCCAGUGAUAUUCAACUCUGGGAGUUUUACUGAGCUGUGGAAGAGGAGAAGCUGAGAAACUAUUUACUGAGGUUGAUUAGGUUUGUAGGAUGAAAAAGCUCAAACCAGCAGAGUCCAUUAUAUCAAAUGAGCCGGUCAGAGAAUGAAGUUAGUGCAGAGGAAAACGGAGCCAAAUGAUGGAGAGACUUUAGUUCUGAUGAAAAUGUUUGUGCCCCUGGAUCCACCUGUGCCUGAAGCUAGCAUACCCUCUGGACUUUUCAGUUAUGUGAACCAAUAAAUACCCUUUUUUGUUUAAGUUACUUUGAGUUGGGUUUCUAUUGCUUGAAAUUGAGCUCUAAUAUACUAUCUACCAACUUUGAAACUUGACAGAUCCAAGUAUUUAUUAAACUAGCGGUCAUGACCACACUGAAAUUAAACUUUAGAAACUGGAAGACAAAGUGAAACAGGAACUGACAAUGUUUAAGACAGAAGCUUAAAAAUUAAUUACAUGAUAGAAAAAUACAGAAGAAAACCUAAAUGUUUAUCAGUAAAAGAUUGGUUAAAUAACACAUGGUUUAGCCAUGUAAGAAAAUCUACAUGUCUGUUAAAAUGAAUAAGGUACAUUUAUUGUGUAUGGACGUGGAAAAAUGGACAUGAUAUAUUAAGUGAAACUAUUGAUAGAAAAAUGUAUAGUAUGAAUGCAUUUUAAUAUUUGUGUGUGUUUAUGUUUAUAAUGCAUAGAAAAGUCUAUUAAUGGCUUUCUUUGAACAGUGUAGAUUUCAUGAGGCUUUCAACUUGAUACAUUUCUGUAUUUGAAUAUUUUACACUACUCACAUUACUUUU